rnacentral:lncRNA from 1 species
AGCCGUGUCAGAAAAUAGAAGUCUCAGACAUCCAAGGAAGGAUAAAAGCAGCAUUGGCUCUCAAGCCCGGCGAAAGGCGAAAGCCCUUAGGCGGCCACUGCGAAUGUUUGAGAAACAAGCCUUUGGAUUUAUCAUCAUCGACGAACCGCAAACAUCAAACACAAGAAAUGCCCCCUUUCAACUUCUAGCAGAGAUUCAAAGGGAAAUUAGCUGAACAUCUGUCUUAAAAAGCUCGAUUUUUGUAUAUAAUCAUGUGAUUAACAUCAGCUGAAUAAUUGUAAUUCAUCAACUGCUCAGCGAAACAGCGGUUGGGAAAUAAUCAAAGGAGGUGUAUCAUCGUUUCUUGAACCUUUGAGCCACUGAUAAAAUAACACAGGUUCACCCAAUAACAAUGAACAUAGUGAUUUCCCUGGGGUUAACGAGAGAUCUGUUCACUAAGAUUGUAACAGAUCACUGCUUUUUGUCCACCAGGAUGAUGUUUAUAUAAAACGGAUAACAAAUAGGAUCAGAAGGCGGUCUCAGACAUCCAAGGAAGGAUAAAAACAGCACAAGCUCUCAAGCCCGGCGAAAGGCGAAAGCUCUUAGGCGGCCACUGCGAAUGUUUGAGAAACAAGCCUUUGGAUUUAUCAUCAUCGACU